GGGGGAUUAGCUCAGUUGGUAGAGCGAUAGGUUCGCAAUCUAUAGGUCGUGGGUUCGACUCCCAUAUCCUCCAUCA
rnacentral:tRNA from 1 species